rnacentral:rRNA from 1 species
GAUGAACGCUGGCGGCGUGCCUAACACAUGCAAGUCGAACGGAAAGGCCCUGCUCUUGUGGUGUGCUCGAUUGGCGAACGGGUGAGUAACACGCGUGUAACCUGCCCUUGACUUUGGGAUAACAUCAGGAAACUGCGGCUAAUAUCGGAUAGGAGCUCCUGCAGCGUGGGGGGGGUUGGUAAGUUUCGGCGGUUGGGGCUCGACUCGCGGGUUAUCAGCUUGUUGGUGUGGUAGUGGCUGACCAAGGCUUUGACGGGUAGGCGGCCUGAGAGGGUGACCGGCCACAUUGGGACUGCGAGACGGACCAGACGCCUACGGGAGGCAGCAGGGGGGAGUAUUGCACAGUGGGCGGAAGCCUGAUACAGCGACGCCGCGUGCGUGAUGACGGCCUUCGGGUGGUAAACAGCUUUCGCCUGUGACGAAGCGUGAGUGACGGUAAUGGGUAAAGAAGCACCGGCUAACUACGCG